GCACUCUUGACUAGUGGAGGGUCGUUAGCCGAACGGGUAGGAUAGGACGAAACCUUCCAUUAUAAGUAUAAUGAAUUAUAAAAGUAACUAAAUGUUUUCAUAAAAUUCCCAAUCUUAGUUACUUAGGCAAAAGUGAAUUGAUGCAAUUCCAUGAAAUUACACUUUGUGCCCUUGCGAAGACGUUAGUGGAGCGUGUGUGGUUUACCGGCACACUAAAUGGUUCUAAGCAAAGGUAGCAAAGGGUGACUCAAUGUUUGUCAUAGUUCGGUGGAGCGUGUGUGGUUUACCGGCACAUCGAAUAGGUGACUGUAACAUGUGAGGGCACCAUGUAAGUUUGCAUGGUUAUUCACACCCGCUUUGUGAUCCUCGGCAUCCCAGUCACAAACAAGAGGGGCAUAUCGAGAUUUAAACAUGCCAUUGAAAGUUCAAUGAAUCUCAAAGGAUCUAGGAGUUUUCAUAGAUUUAAAACUUAAAUUUCUUUUUCGUUUUUCAUGGUGGAAAUUAGUGAAUCGUCAUUCACUUACCUUCAAAUAUUCUGCAAUUAGGGUUACGGCAUCCCUCUCCCGAGUUGUAGAAUAUUGUGUUGGGUCCUAGCCUUAGUAUCUCAUUUGGGUGAUUUACUAAGGACUCAAUCAAUCAACUAACUUGAAUUCGUUUUCUCCCGUUUUGUAGAUGUCAAAGUUCGACAACUAUGGUCUUCCCAAAUCCCGUGGAACAAGCAUUCCACAUGAAGAUGAUAUUCCACGAUUCGAUCGAGGAACAAGAAAUCAUGCUUCACUUCCUCCUCCUCCUCCAAUUAUUCUCCCUAACCCACAAGUUCAAAGGCUUGAAAAGUUCAAGAUCACUCAAGCCCUUUUGGCAAGUAAACAUAAAGAAGGAAAGUCGGUGUGUGCACACGUCCUAGGGAUGAAGUCACACAUUGAUAGGUUAAGAAUGUUGGGAUCCGUUGUCUGUGAGGAAAUGGCUGUUGAUUGGGUUCUUCAGUCACUUCCUAACUCAUAUAGUGAGUUCGUAAGAGAGUACUAUAUGAUGAACCGCGACGUGACCCUUAUAGAUCUCACCUAUAUGCUUAUUGCUGCUGAAUCAGCAAUGGUUUGGCGCAAUAGAAAAGCAAAGUUGAUUGGUGAAUCUGCCUUCAAGACCUCUAUGGAUAUAGACAAUGGCAACGAAAGACAUGCUAUGAUCGAAAAGUUUGAUCAUAAGAGAAAGGCAAUGUCUGAAGUAGUUCCAUGUCAUGUUCCAAAAGAGUCAAUUUGCUUUUAUUGCCAAGAGAAAGGGCAUUGGAGACGAAGCUGCCCCAUUUACCUAAGAGAUCUAAGAGAUGGGAGAGUCGAAACGUAUGGCUCUAAUAUAGGUAAAAUCCAUUAACUAACUCUUUUAAGCUUCUAUUCUAGAUUCUUAAUACAUAAUGUGAUAAGAUUACAAUUGAUGUUUUGUAGGAUCGAAGAAAAGAAAGGAAGCUUAAGGGAAGAAGUGAGCAGAAUCUAACCGUGAAGGAAUGGAUUUCGAUCGCAUUUCUCGAAGAUUAGAUUCUUGAGCUACUACUUAGAGUUAGAAUUAGAUUGCUAAGAAAGAUGUAUUAGCAUAGUUUUUCAAUGAAUUGCAUUGUAAGGACAAAUUUUUUCCGCAAUAAAAUAAAUUUUGAUUUUAUAUUAUUUAUUUAUCCUUGCAAUGGCGUAUAUGAAAAAUUGAUGUUUGAAUGUUUCUAUUAUUAGCAAUAAUGGAUUUGGUUCUUAUUAUGUUAUUUAUGGAAAGUCGAGAAUUUACCAAAUAGGGAGAGUUUCUCAUCGCCCAAGUUUCAAUUGGACAGAAACUUGGAAUCAUGCAACUUGGUUGCACGAUGAAUGAGAAAUUUCAUAUUUGGAAAUUAGACUAAUUCAUUGACAAAGUGUCAAGUGAAGGACUAGGAGAUCGAGUACACAAAGUUGCGUGUUGAUCAAGUCCACCAUAAGAGUAACAAAGAUAUUCGUCAUGAUUUACUAAAGGUUUAGUAAAUAUGAUUAUACUUAUAAGAUUAAGUGUAAUUCUGAAUUGAUUGAAAAAGUUUAAAUCAAUAGCAGAACGAAUAAGAAGAAUCAAGUAGGCAGAAAGAUAAAAGUUUCUCCAUUCUAAGAAGAAGGGAGAGUACCUUUUAUGCUUUAUGAUAGGUCUUAAUGAUUAAGAACCAUAUCUCAAUUGAUCCUCUAAGUGAGUCUUAGUACAAUUGUAUGUCUAAGAAGAGGAAUCAAGAAUUGAAGAAAUGGUUAAAUCAAGAAGUCAAUCAUACUUCGUUCCAAAACAAGUCUUAGAGUUAAGAUUGUGACAUUGAGUGAUAAGUAUUAAGAAGGUUUAUAACAUUCAUCAAAUGUGGAAAGUUGUGAUGUCUUGGAUAAGACAAAGACCAACUAGGACCAAUUUAUGAAGUGUUUUGAUAAAAACUACACUAACUCUUGAAUAUUUGUUUGUCAAGAAAUGUUUAUUGACAAGAGAAUCUUAUAUGUCAAGGAGUCAGUGGGAGUCUUAAUGGUCUUGAAAGGUUUCAAGAACAAAUCAAAAAAACCUUAUCGAUCAUCACUAGCACACGAGUUGAGGUUUACAACCUAUCGUGUUGACAUUAUUUUGUUUCUGUGCCAAUCCAAUCGAGUUAAUUAUGCAUGUGAGUCCUAUGAGUUCUCAUUUGAAUGCAUAAAAGGCAAGGACCUUGAUCAAUGGAAAGUACAUUGAUAAGAAAAGGUGAGCUGCUUAACUACUUGGAAGACAUGGUGGGCAGCUGUGCUACCAUAAGGCAAGAAAUCAAGAUUAAGAAAGUUCGGUCCAUAUGAGUUUGAAUUUGUCGUAAACUUUGGUUUUAACAAAUUCACAUGGAUAGGAACACAUACACCGUUUAAAUCUAAGUGUCAUAAGAUUUCCUCCUUCAUGAAAAUGAUUGUGAGGAAAUGCUUUCACUAAGAAAGAUUUUAAGAAGAUAGUGAUUGUAAAAUUGCAUUCUCGAAUUCGAUUAUGGUUACGGUAUCCCUUUCCAUAAUUUGAAUUGUGAGGUUUGGCAAUUAGUCUUAAUUGUUUAGACACACAUAUGAACUAUCGAAGGCAAAGGUGUAUAAGUUCAAGAAGCCUUGAUAAAAGAUUAUCAAAGCACUAAGUAUUAGAAACAUGAACUUAAGAAAUUCAAUAAGCAUUGUUUUUCUGAAAGUUAAGCUGUUUCUGAAUACAUGUCAAAGCUAGUGGGAGCAUAAGUGUUAUGUUUAUAAUAAUCAUCAUGAUAGUGGGAGCAUAAAUGUUAUGAUUGUAUGAUUAUUAAGGAAAGUAUUGCAAGUUGGCAAUAUUAAUUAUAGAAAACAAGAGUCAUACUUUGCAAAGUUGUAAGGAUGGAAUAGUUGUUUUGCUAUAAUUAAGGGAGAGAAUAUUAUGCUUCAUUUCAAAUCUAAAGGCUUAGGUUGAGAAAUGUUAAUAAAUUUAGUCAAAGGUACAUAGUGUGUUCUUAAAAUUUCGAUUAUGAUUACGACAUUCCUCUUCACAAUUCGAAUUUUGAGAACAUAGCAAAUAAAACAUUAUGCGUCGUGUCCCAUACGCUUCGGGUAUAGGAUCGAUUGCAAAUGCUUUAAUGUUUGACCAUUCUAAAAUUUUCCAAAUGUCUAGCGCAUUUAGAGGGAAAAAGGACUAGAAUUGGUUUUGACUAAAAUAAUUAAACAACUAUCAAAGGACAAUCCAAAGUUCGACGAGGAUUGGUCGCUUGUGAGUAGUUGGAAGCAUGGUAUUGGAUGGACCAUAUCGACAUUAUUAUGAAUAGAAAAGAUUCUAUUAAGAAUGAGUUGUCAUAUGGAAAUUAUGGAAAUGUUUCCAUAUUGGAUGGACCAUAUCGACAUUAUUACGAAUAGAUAAGAUUCUAUUAAGAAUGAGUUGUCAUAUGGAAAAUAUGGAAACGUGUCCAUAUUGGGAAUUGAAUAUUGAAAAUCUAUGUCUAGAUUAGAAACUUUUAUGCAAAAGGAUGUUCAAAGGAAUGUACUUUGAGUGAGAGACAUCAUAUCUAAGGAAUUGUCUUGUAACAAUCUCCGAUAGAGGACUUUGUAAUAUCAUUGGCAAUAGUCUUUGUGACUUUGGUGCAGUGACAUUACGAAAGGAUCGUUGCAUAGAAUGUUAGAAUCUAGCAUAUUCUAUAAGUAGCAAGAAUUUGAUAUUCUUUCACUUAUGAAAAAGGAUUUGGAGUUGUGAAAUGAGAAUGAUUGGAAAUGUGUUCAAUUUGAUCUAUUUCACAAAGUAAGAACCAUAGGUAAACAUUGUGUGCAUGCUAGGAGCAUGGGACAAGUGUAAUAAUUCAAGUAAGAAGUUGAUUACCCGAAACGACAAAUAAUGAGUAAUCGAUAUGGUGAUAAAUAAAAGGUGUUUUAUUUAUACUCAAAGGUUUGAGGCCAUAUGGGAUUAGUAUUAUUCUUGUGUUUCACAUUUGCAUGUUUUGACUUCCAGAAUAAUUGAGUUUAUUAAGAAUAAUCGAAUUAUUCGAACGGGCCACAGUCGUUCAUAUGUUGGAAGUAGAUAUGAAUGAAGACUGUCGUGAAUUGGUGUGUGGAUUGUCUAAAAGAGUAUUAGACAUAAGCAAAUGUUUGCUGCAACGUUCAUGAGUGCUUAUGAAUAUGAUUUGAGCAUUGGAUUAAACCCACGCUCACUUGGAUCACUCCAUGAAUUGUAUCACGAGUGAUUGGUGAGACGAUAACAUCUUAUAUUCUUGAAACCGAGAUGUGUGAGUUGUAUCUUGCAAAUCGGUUGCACAUUGAUAAUAUGUAAACGCACUAGUAACUUGGUGUUAUAAAACAUAUUGUUGUGUGUGAUUCGGUGAGUGAGUGCAAGCAAGCAUUGUAUCAAAGUUUAUCCGUUCCUUUUAUCCAAAGUAGGAUAAAAGCGAUAUCUUUGGGCCCCUCGAUGAUUUAGUGAUGACAAACGUAAAUGCUCGGCCGGGCUAGGGCUAAUUUGAUUUGUUCAAUUAGUCAGUCGUCAUAAAUCGGGAAUCGAGAUAUAGUACAAAGAGAAUGAUUUGAAAUCAUAUCUCAUAUGAUAUCUAGAAUGGAGGAAUAUAUGAUCCCUUAUCUAAGGACACGCGUAUCUGAUAGGAUCAGAGUUGACAGCGGCUUUGGAAAGCUACGAUUGCAGAUCAGGAUCUGAAGUCAUACGCAUAAUAGUUAUUAGACUUAUCCAAGUGGGAGACUGUUGGAUUAGUGUCUAAGUCCAUAACUAUUUUGGUAUGUACUUGACCCGAUGGUGCAUGGUCCUUUUGGGUUGCCUUCACCAAAGCAACUUGAUAGGAUGAAUUAUGGAGAGAAAGGAUUAAAUAUGAUUUAUUAAUAUAUUAUGAGAAUAAUAUAUUAAAGGAGAAAUCAUAUUGUUUAAUUAAUAUUAGUCAAUAAUUAAUUGGUAAUUAGUUUUGUGACUAAAAGAGAUUAAUUAAACUUAAGGGACUGGAAUUGUAAUUAUAAGAUAAUUGCAAUUUGGGCCAUGGAUUGCCUUAUAUUAUAAGGUGGACGAAUUCUAUGGGGGAAGCCCAUAUGAAAUCGUCCAAGGCCUUAAGGAAAGGGCUCCAUGGGUUGCUUAGGGCUUAAGCAUCCAAAUUAGGGUUUCCUUGUUAGAUAACCCUAAUAGCCUCACUAUAUAUAGAACCCUUAAGGCUCAAAAACGUGGGGAACUUCUUUUCUAGGGUUAGAACACGUUUUGGGCAGCCUCCAUCCUCUCUCCUCUUCAUCCUCUUGCUUAUGGUGUUUGUGAACCAUUAGAGGAGUGACACUUGUGACUCUAAGCCUUCCAAAGUCAAUUCAAGGAGGAAUUGGGAUUGUUAUUGCUACAUAACAAUCAAGGUAAUAUCAUAAACCUAAUUAUAUGUUAAUAUUGAUUUCCAUAUGCUAGAAUUAGGGUUUAUAGUCUUGGAUUCAAAGCAUGUACAAUAGAGAAACCUAGAUCCAAGCAUUAGGGUUUGUAUGAGCACAUAGGAUGUCUUAUGACCAAAACCCAUCAGUGGUAUCAGAGCCUAGAUUGGUUUCUAUUGUAUUGAUGCUUGGUAUGUUGAAAAAAUUCGAUUUUUGUGUUUCUGGGGGCUGAACUCGCCGAGUUUUUUAGAUGAACUCGUCGAGUUCAUGCUAACUCGACGAGUCCAUGCCUGACUCGACGAGUCGGCUGGUCAGUAAGAGGGAAAACCGGGAUUUCUUGCUGUUUUUGCUUGAGGAUACUUGCCUUAUCAUAUUAGAUCAAUAUAAAUCCGAUUUUUUGAUAUAUAUGACUAUAUUUUUGAUCUAAUUGAAGAUAUUUAUCAAUUAAUAAGAUAAUUGUUUCCUUAUGUGAUAAUUGAUUAAUUAUUUUGACUAAAUUGAUAAAUUGUUUUGCAAGAAAUCAUUAAAUAAAUCAAAUAUGGAUAAUUAUGUGAUUAAAUGUUAAUUUAGAUUAUUUGUUAUUUGAUCCUUGUGUUUUGAAAAGUUUCAUAUUUUCCCCUUUAGGUUUUAUAGUUUAAAUUUGAACCCAAAAGUUUUGUUGUUUUGAAAUUUAAAUAGUUGAAACCCUAAUGUUUUGAAAAAGGUUUCAAAACUUGCCCUCAAGUUUUGGAAUUUAAAUUUUGAUUAAUUGUUUAAUUUUGAUGUAUAUUUAAAUUCUAAACCCUAAUGUUUUGAAAUGUUUCAAAACUUGCCCUCAAGUUUUGGAAUUUAAAAGUUGAUUAAAAGUUUAAUUAGGAAUGUUAAAUUCUAAAACCCUAGUAUUGUUUUGAAAAAGUUCAAAUCACACCCUUAUGGUUUUAUUAAUUAAUUAAGGUGUAUAAUUAAAAGAGGUUUAAUAAAUCCAUAAAAGUUUAGGUUUACAAUUUAAUUGAAUUAAAAGUAUAAUUGUUAAAUUUGACCACCUAGUAUUUUAAAAGUGUAAAAUACACCCUAUACUAUAUAUAACAUUAAAAGUCUAACAUUAUAUAUAUGUAUGAGUAAAAGUCAGUCAUACCGUUAGUAGGCCUCAUUCACGAAGCUGGUCUAUAAGGGGUGUUUAAGGAAAUUGCCUAUAAAAUGGCGAUAGAAUGGGUAUCCACUCUUACCCACCGCACUCUUGACUAGUGGAGGGUCGUUAGCCGAACGGGUAGGAUAGGACAAAACCUUGCAUUAUAAGUAUAAUGAAGUAUAAAAGUAACUAAACGUUUUCAUAAAAUUCCCAAUCUUAGUUACUUAGGCAAAAGUGAAUUGAUGCAAUUCCAUGAUAUUACACUUUGUGCCCUUGCGAAGACGUUAGUGGAGCGUGUGUGGUUUACCGGCACACUAAAUGGUUCUAAGCAAAGGUAGCAAAGGGUGACUCAAUGUUUGUCAUAGUUCGGUGGAGCGUGUGUGGUUUACCGACACAUUGAAUAGGUGACUGUAACAUGUGAGGGCACCAUGUAGUUUGCAUGGUUAUUCACACCCGCUUUGUGAUCCUCGGCAUCCCAGUCACAAACAAGAGGGGCAUUCGAGAUUUAAACAUGCCAUUGAAAUGUUCAAUGAAUCUCAAAGGAUCUAGGAGUUUUCAUAGAUUUAAAACUUAAAUUUCUUUUUCGUUUUUCAUGAUGGAAAUUAGUGAAUCGUCAUUCACUUAC
rnacentral:lncRNA from 1 species